rnacentral:piRNA from 1 species
AAAAUGUAUGAAGAACACCUGAAGAGAAU